rnacentral:antisense_RNA from 1 species
CUUCACCGAGCCGAGCAGCAGUGGGUGGUGGGGGUCACGGCCUCGGCCGUACGUGGCGAUCAGCGCCUGCGCCUC